AUUGUUACAGUGUAAAAGUAAAAUAAAUUCAUAUAUAUCGUAAUACAGUAAGCCAAAGUAUUUAAUUUAAUUUACAGUAACAAGUGGGCCCUCGAACAACCGAAAGUAAGAAAAAUUGUAAACCUACAGUUUGGAGGAUGCAAAUCCAAUGGUUGUCCUCGAUGAAAUCAGCUAUCUAUAGACUAUCCUGAGUUUGAAAUGGGUGGAAAGGAGGGUGGUGAGAUUAUAUAAUCCUAGUGAGUAAACAAAUACCAUCUAAAAUAUCUAAAGCCGAGUAAAUGGAAACAGAUAAAACAGUUUAAUGUACUGUAAUUCAUCACCUUUUAACUCAUUUCAAUCAAAUAAAAUCAAUUCAUAUAAAUCGAGUAAUCAACAUGGCUUAUAAAUUUCUUAAAACUUUGGCUCGUGCCAAAAUCAUUUUUAUACCCAGUUAUCAGGGAUGCCUUGAUCGAGGGCUAUCCCAACCGAGUCCGUCAAGGCUGUCAAAAAGUUAUGUACGCAUAAAUCAUGUUUUUAUUUUAAAAACAUAGCCGUUCCUUGGCAUUAGCGGAGUUCAUCAUCAUGAGGUGGUUUAGCGUGAAGUGAACUCUAAAGUUAUACCUCGGGAGUUACCCUAUUCGCCUCUUCAACCGAGGUAAAAUAUGACUAGGUUCUGUGCCCCUCUAAUAGGCUAGUCCACAGAACUAGCCCACUACAGUAAGCUAAACCCACCAUACAAUGAAAAUUCAACAACAUGACAUGGCAAUUUUAUCAUUAUCCAGCCUAUCAAGGCAAACAACAGUUUAUACAUUUCAACACAAAUACCAAUUCAGCCAUUCAUGCCAAUAUUGUCAUAAGCCAAUCAAUUAGAACCAUAAAUUCACAAUACAUCAAAUGGUCUCAAAUUACUCUAUUUUCAAAGCCAUUAUUCAAUUUUAAAGCAAUUUUAUGAAAUCAUUUCAUUAAAUCACAUUUGGUUUAUAAAACUGAAAAAUUAAUCAUUUAAUUCAUUUUCCAUGAAAUUCACAAAAUCGGAUAAAAACCACUUUAAAUAAUUAAGACGAUAGUAAGGUUACUCACUAUUUCGGGAGUCGAAUUCCAAGUACUCCGAUUCUUGAUUCCUCAGGUACUAUCUCUUUACUUUUGCCAGAAUGCUCACCACCUAGACAUAAUGCACAAUAAGCCAUUUACUACAUUGUGCUAAAUUGUUAUAAAACCAAUUCAGGCUUUAUACUAAUGUAUGAAAUGGGAUGCAAAUUGUUUGGAUUACCGUUUAAAUACGGUAUUCUACACAAAUUCAAUUGUGUACCUAAAUUAAACGAUAUUGGCCUAAUUCGAUCUAUCACUCGUUUAAUUGGCCAAUACGUCCAAUUCAACUCCAAAUAAUUUCAUUUUUCUCCCAAUACUCCAAAUCAUCAAACACAAAUUAAAUAACUUGAAAUAUGGCAAAAUCAUCCUCACAUUUUCUCUUGGAAAAAUUCGGCCAUGGUGGGUGCAUCAACACUAUAAUUUUUCCUACUUGAUUCUCACACCAUAAAUCACUAAUUCCUAACCAAAUCACUUGAAAUAAAAUCAAAAUCAUUCUCAAUAUUUCACAUGGAGAAUUCGGCCAAUGAUGGGUGAUGGGAGAAAAUGAAUUUUUCUUGCUUGAUUUUCAUGUUACACAUCAUUAACUAACUAAAAACAUUAAAAUACAUUGAAAUCUAACCAAAACAACCAUCAAAUCUUCUCUCUCUAAAUUUGGUCAGCCAUGAAUCCUUCAUGAUAUCUUGUGAUUCAACCAUGAAAAAUGCAAAAUAAUGCAUGAGAAAGGUAGAUCACAAGUCAAAAUCAAGAAAUUUUACCUUUGAUUGCUUGAUUACUUGAAAUCCACCAAUUUUUCUCUUGAAUUUUCACCUUAGGGUUCUUGUUCUUUCUUUUCUUCCUUUGUUCUUCUUUGGC
rnacentral:lncRNA from 1 species